rnacentral:rRNA from 1 species
GAUCCUGGCUUAGGAUGAACGCUGGCGGUGUGCCUAAUACAUGCAAGUCGAUCGGGCGUAGCAAUACGUCAGAGGCGUACGGGUGAGUAACACGUAGGUAACCUACCUUUAAGACUGGGAUACCCAGACGAAAGUUUGGCUAAUACCGGAUAACAACAUUUGAGACAUCUCUUUUGUUUGAAAGGCGCUGCAAGGCGCCACUUUUAGAUGGACCUGCGUCGCAUUAGCUAGUUGGUGAGAUAAAAGCCCACCAAGGCUGGGAUGCGUAGCCGAUCUGAGAGGAUGACCGGCCACAAUGGGACUGAGACACGGCCCAUACUCCUACGGGAGGCAGCAGUAGGGAGUUUUCGGCAAUGGGGGAAACCCUGACCGAGCAACACCGCGUGAGUGAUGAAGGUCUUCGGAUCGUAAAGCUCUGUUACGAGGGACGAAUGAUCGCUUUAGGAAAUGAGAGCGGUUUGACGGUACCUCGCCAGAAAGCGACGGCUAACUACGUGCCAGCCGCAGC